GGAAUACAGGGCCGCUCUGACAGACGAGCUUCUAGUUCUUCGACAGUGACAGCCGCCCAUACGUGACAGCAGCCAUGACUGAGAUGUCUGGCAUGUCGGAGAUGUCGUCGGUCUCCGGAAUGUCGAGCAUCGGCGGCGGUGACACUGCGGAUC